GCCGGGCUCAGCCUCUGUUUUGGAGGGAGGAAGGAAGGAAGCAGGAAGACUACCUGAAGCCCCCACUUCCUGUUCCUGUUUCAUGAGUGCAAUGUCUUUUUUUCUUCAUCUUUCCUGCUGUGGUGGGGUUUUCCAGCAGGAAAACUCAGAGCUGGGUGGGAGGGCUCUGCCAUGGUUCGUGAGUUUGCUCCCCUUUCCCCAUGGGCUGUGUUGGUUGAAAAGAACUCUCUCCCUCCCCCAACUCCUCGUCAAAUUCAAAUGCUCACAGGGUCUCCAAUAUUCAGCGACCUUUCAUGGAUUAAAUUCUGAGCCAUUCUUUUGCCCCUAGAAGGUUGUCCUCUAUAGAAUAGCGUAAAACUGUUAGGAGAUUGUUAGAACAAAGUCUUGCAGGCACCUUCACUUGGCAGAAGAAUCGAUCAAACUCCAUUUAGAAGGGAGCUCAUUGAAGGGGCCUUGGUUUCCCGUUUCCUUUGUAACCAAGACAGUUCUUUCCAGAGGGAAAGGGGAGGGAGGGAGAGCAGGCUGUGGCUCUGCAGUCCUGAGCUGGCCUCAGCCUUCAGAGAGGACAGUGGACAUCCUGGAGAGGCCACGGGGAGCCACUGCAUCCUGGAAGAGUUGAGUGUGGUAGCCUGAGCCCUGGCCUUGAUUCUGCGACCUCGGGUGUGAACUCACCAGGUAGAAGACGGGGACGCUGGCAGGGACGCAGACCGUGCCUGAGCCGGCCUUCCUGUGUGGGCCCAGAUACCGGCUCAGGUCCCACCUCCCCUGGUGCUGUCCACACCAGGACAGCAGAAGCCUCAUGCCUGGUCCCCAGGGAUACGGUUCUGAAUCAAAACCUCUCACGGCACAUCGAAUUGAGCCUGACCAACGCCUGGGUCCUGGCAGUGGAGGCUGGGAGGAGAGUGUCUGGGAUUCUGUCCGGGGAGGCAGGGCUGUCACUGUGGGGAGCUAUGAACAUGGAUGGGGCUUGCUGAAGAGACUCAAGCAGCUCGGGGGUCAGAACAGCUCCGAGAACCACGUCCUCCUCCCACUUUGGGAUCUGGGCCAAGUCUCCCUGCCUGUCUGGGCCUUGGUUCCCUCCUCUGUAAGUGUGUGGAGGACAAGGUGACCUCUAAGACCUGUCCAGUUCUGGGGUCCCACCCCUGAGGACUUUGCAGCCUGGGCUGGCAGCCCUGAAUGAUACGGGGGACACCUGCAGGGGCCGCACCCCUGCAUAGACUGCAGUUAAUUCUGGGUUAAGCAAAGCCUGUGUUUCCCACACGGGCCCAGCUUCUGAUGUCUGGAAAGAUGAGGACCCGCACUUGCUUCCAUCAGCAGCAUGUCCUGUGCACACGAAGGUUGCACCGUCCUAAAAACACCACUGCGAUGACGAUCUGAGCUUUUAAGUGUCUCCUGCUGUCUGCAGCACGUUGAGCAGAACACCCUCCAAAUUCCACCUUAUUUGGAAUAAGGGUCUUUGCAGGUGUAAUUAAUUGAGAGUCUGUGAUCAUCCUGGUUUUAGGGUGGGCCCUAAAUCCAAUGACUGGUGUCCUUAUGAGAAGAGGAGAGGCCACAGAGGGACACAUGGAGAAGGCCAUGGACGGCAGAGGCAGGGGUCAAGGUGACACAGCCACAGCCGAGGGACGCCUAGAGUCACCCGAAGCGGGGAGGGGCAGGAAGGAUCCUCCUUGGAGCCUUCGGAAGGAGCGGGGCCCUGCCCACACCUUGGUUUCAGCCUUCUGGACAUCAGAACUUCGAGGGAAUCCUUUUCUGUUACUUCGAGCCACCAGGUUUGUGUAAUUCGCUACUACGGCAGUCACAGGAACUCAGGCACCAUUUCUCUUUUUUUUUUUUUUUGACAUGGACUCUCACUCUGUCACCAGGCUGGAGUGCAGUGGCGCCAUCUCAGCUCACUGCAACCUCUGCCUCCCGGGUUCAAGCGAUUCUCCCGUCUCAGCCUCCUGAGUAGCUGGGGCUACAGCCGCGCGCCUCCCUGCCAGCUAAUUUUUGUAUUUUUAGCGGAGACCGGGUUUCACCAUGUUGGCCAGGAUGGUCUCGAUCUCUUGACCUCGUGAUCCGCCCGCCUUGGCCUCCCAAAGUGCUGGGAUUACAAGCGUGACCCAUCACUCCCGGCCUCUCUUUUUGAAAAGAAGUGACCAACACAUUUUAUGAGAUAAUGUAAUCUCAACAUCAAAAAAAUGAGGACAUUACAAGAAAGGAUAAUUACUGGCCAAUCUUAAUUAUUAGAAAAAUACUUUUCAAAACAGCAAAGAAAAUAUUAGCAAAAUUAAUCAAGUAAUGGAUUUUGUCCCAGGAACUCAGGUUUAGUAAAACAUUACAAAAGGUACCCAGAUAAUGCACCAGUCUCACCAGUUAAAGGAGAAAAGACAUGUGCCUGUAUCCGCUGGUUCAUAGCUGAUAUUCAAUAAAAUUCAACAAAGCAAUGACCUCAACAGGAGAAAGAUUUUCUUCCAAAAAUCUACAGAAAAUGCUUGAUGAAAAAAAAAAAAAAAGAAUUUUUUUUUUAAGUGAUGGGGUCCUCUCCCUCUCCCUCUCCCUCUCCCUCUCCCUCUCCCUCUCCCUCUCCCUCUCCACGGUCUCCCUCUCUCUCCACGGUCUCCGUCUGAUGCUGAGCCCAGGCUGGACUGUACUGCCGCCAUCUCGGCUCACUGCAACCUCCCUGCCUGAUUCUCCUGCCUCAGCCUGCCGAGUGCCUGGGAUUGCAGGCGCGCGCCGCCACGCCUGACUGGUUUUCGUAUUUUUUGGUGGAGACAGGGUUUCGCCGUGUUGGCCGGGCUGGUCUCCAGCUCCUGACCGCAAGUGAUCUGCCUGCCUCGGCCUCCGGAGGUGCCGGGAUUGCAGACGGAGUCUCGCUCACUCAGUGCUCAAUGUUGCCCAGGCUGGAGUGCAGUGGCGUGAUCUCGGCUCGCUACAACCUCCACCUCCCAGCCACCUGCCUUGGCCUUCCAAAGUGCUGAGAUUGUAGCCUCUGCCUGGCCGCCACCCUGUCUGGGAAGUGAGGAGCGUCUCUGCCUGGCCGUCCAUCGUCUGGGAUGUGAGGAGCCCCUCUGCCCGGCCGCCCAGUCUGGGAAGUGAGGAGCGCCUCUUCCCGGCCGCCAUCCCGUCUAGGAAGUGAGAAGUGUCUCUGCCCGGCCGCCCAUCGUCUGGGAUGUGGGGAGCGCCUCUGCCCCACCGCCCUGUCUGGGAUGUGGGGAGCGCCUCUGCCCGGCUGCGACCCCGUCUGGGAACUGAAGAGUGUCUCUGCCCGACUGCCACCCCGUCUGGGAGGUGAGGAGUGUCUAUGCCCGGCCGCCCCGUCUGAGAAGUGAGGAGCCCCUCCGCCUGGCAGCUGCCCCGUCUGGGAAGUGAGGAGCCCCUCCGCCCGGCAGCCGCCCCGUCCAGGAGGUGGGGGGCAGCCCCCGCCCGGCCAGCCGCCCCAUACGGGAGGUGGGGGGUGCCUCUGCCUGGCCGCCCCGUCUGGGAAGUGAGGAGCCCCUCUGCCCGACCACCACCCCGUCUGGGAGGUGUACCCAACAGCUCAUUGAGAAGGGGCCAUGAUGACGAUGGCGGUUUUGUCGAAAAGAAAAGGGGGAAAUAUGGGGAAAAGAAAGAGAAAUCAGAUUGUUACUGUGUCUGUGUAGAAAGAAGUAGACAUAGGAGACUCCAUUUUGUUCUGUACUAAGAAAAAUUAUUCUGCCUUGGGAUGCUGUUAAUCUAUGACCUUACCCCCAACCCCGUGCUCUCUGAAACAUGUGCUGUGUCCACUCAGGGUUAAAUGGAUUAAGGGCGGUGCAA
rnacentral:lncRNA from 10 species